GCCUAGCCGUAAACUAUAAUGCUAACAUACAACUAGCAUUCGCCAGGGAACUACGAGCACUAGCUUAAAACCCAAAGGACUUGGCGGUGCCUCAGACCCCCCUAGAGGAGCCUGUUCUAGAACCGAUAACCCCCGUUCAACCUCACCACUCCUUGCCCUUUCCGCCUAUAUACCACCGUCGCCAGCUUACCCUGUGAAGGAAAAGUAAGCAAAAUGGAAACUUUCCAAAACGUCAGGUCGAGGUGUAGCACACGAAGUGGGAAGAAAUGGGCUACAUUGCCUGUAUUAGGCUACAACGAAGAAUCGCCUGAAAAGACCAUUUGAAGGUGGAUUUAGCAGUAAAAGGGGAAUAGAGUGCCCUUUUGAAGCCGGCUCUGAGGCGCGCACACACCGCCCGUCACUCUCCCCGAUAACACUUACUUAUCAGUAAUUUAACCCAAAACAUAAAAAAAGGGGAGGCAAGUCGUAACAUGGUAAGUGUACCGGAAGGUGCACUUGGAAUAAC
rnacentral:rRNA from 1 species